UGCUGUUGUUGGAAUUUCUUGCUAUAGGGAUCAGAAGGAUACUGAUUUCCUUUUUUCUGUGUUGUUUGCAUUGGUUGGUGAGAAGAAACAUGUUGGGAGGAUUAAUGUCUCUUGCUGGACCUUUGUUUUUAGACAAUUUGUUGCUUUUUUCAGUCUCUUUCACUGGGAACACAUUUUAUAGAUUUUGUAUCGGUUGUUCUUGCUCUAUCAUGGCUUGUCAACACAUUUAUCUCUCUUUUGUUUAACAAAGGGACACUUAAACAAUUAAAACAAAAUUGAACUCUCAUAUUUAUUUCACAUUUAACUUUCAUUCUAUGAACAUACCAUUUCCAAGUCAGUCUGUAAAAUGGGAACAAACUAUCAUCGUUUUCUGAACACAUUUACCUCUCAUUUGUUUUAGCUAUGCUUGGAGGGAACUUCGCUGCUCUCAGCCUUCUGUGAUGCUGUUAUUCAUGUUCUUGUUGCAUACCUCGACUCACUCUAUCAAACUUGCCAGCUACUGCUCUCAAACCCCUCUCAGUUUCAGGUAUUCAUAAUUUCCAGAGGUUUGCUUCUUCUUUUUUUGGUGUUCUUUGCCACAAUCGGCAAUGCUUUUGCAUCUGCUCUUUUGUUUUUUUUUAUAUAUAUAUUUUCUAGGCUUUCUUCUUUGACUCAUUAAAUUAAUAAGAGAGUUAGUAGUUGAUGGGAACCCUAUGUUCGGUUUACUUAGGCUAUGUUCUCUGGAAUUCUCAAUUCUUCAUUGAUUUGCUCUCGUAUAUGGUGGUAUUUAUCACAACACCGAAACUAUUAUUAUUAUUAUUAUUAUUAUUUUAAAUGUGAAGUAACAGCUGAGACACCCACUCGACGCAAGUCCCAAAAUAAGUACCAUAACUUUACAGCAAGCAAAUGAAAUGCAGUCGGUCACAAGCUGAAUAUAUGAUGGGCACAAAUGACCGUUCUUUCGAGGAGACGGCUAGAUUUUUGCAAUCUCUGUACCUGAAGAAGAACAGUGCAAAGUCUUAAUGAAAAUAAAUGCACAAUGACAAGUGGGGCAAGAAAAAAAAAACCCCUUUUAUCAUUUACAAUUGAGGAAAAAACGAAAAACGUCAAAGCAAUAUCUAUAUAACUCUUAUCUUCACUUGCUAUAAGGCUACUGUAACCCUAUGUUGAGUGAAUGUGGUUUUUUUGACUAAUUAGCCUACCGUCGAUUCAUGGCGGCUUCAAUCCUGCUGUGAAAGCAACUGGGAUAGACUUGUGCUUGCUUUUCCAUGAUAGACAAAAAAUUAACUUCACCUCAUAUUUAUGGCACUAGGGCCUAGAUUUUUGUUUCGUCUUAGACUAUGUCUUAAAAAAAAACAGUUUCACUCUUUGAUGUCAAUAAAUCAGUAGCCAAAGCUCGGAUUGAAUCCAUUGAUAGAUUUUCUUUCAAAGAGGACCUUGCAGUCCCCUCAAUUGCUUCACUUAAGUAGAGAAUAGCUAGGUUCCCUGCUAUCAUUUUAUAUUCUGGUGAUUCAUGAAAAGAACUCAUGAGUUUGUUUUCAAAGACGAGGUUCAAAUCUUUGAGAUUUAUGCUGGUUUUUCCAUUGACAACAAUGCCAUUUUUAAAAACUACACUAAAUGUUUUACAGGUGCUUCUGAAUAAGUAAUUAAGCAAAUGGUGAAUGCUGGAUUAUAGAACAAGAAUGGAAUUGAAGAGUGCUAAUUCUUAUUCAUGGAAUUGUGCUAUGUGGUUUCGUUGCUCUAUUAUGCAGUGAGAAACUUUUUUACAAUUUUCAUUUACAGGACGUGUAGCUAAGUAGCCAUGCAUAUGCUGGAUAUUUUUUUGCAGCUUCUGCUAAAACUCACUUUCUUUAACAGUAUUCGGCUUGAUUCUUGCUAGCACUGUUAUAUAUAUCCAACUCCUUUUAAUUUAUUGAGCACCUUUUUGUUCAAGAAUCAUUGGAUAACAAAUACGUUUAAUUAAAGUAGCUUCAUAUUUUCUUAUUCACUUA